UACGAGGGGUGCAAGCGUUAUUCGGAUUUAUUGGGCGUAAAGGGUGCGUAGGUGGUAUGUUAAGUCUGUUGUUAAAUUUUCCGGCCUAACCGGAAGCAUGCAGUGGAAACUGGCAAACUUGAGGAUGGAAGAGGGAAGUGGAAUUCUCGGAGUAGCGGUAAAAUGCGUGGAUCUCGAGAGGAACACCGAUGGCGAAGGCAGCUUCCUGGUCCAUAUCUGACACUGAGGCACGAAAGCGUGGGGAGCAAAC
rnacentral:rRNA from 1 species